GAUGACUGGAUAUGUAGAGCGCUUACUAGAGGACUAGUAAGGCGCUGUAUAAAUACAGGCCAUUUACCAUU
rnacentral:pre_miRNA from 1 species